AGGGUGACAGGUGGUGCAUGGUUGUCGUCAGCUCGUGUCGUGAGAUGUUGGGUUAAGUCCCGCAAACGAGCGCAACCCUGACCUUAGUUGCCAGCAUUCAGUUGGGACACGUCUAAGGUGACUGCCGGCUAAAAGUCGGAGGAAGGUGGGGAUGGACGUCAAAUCAUCAUGCCCUUAUGACCUGGGCUACACACGUGCUACAAUGGGCGGUACAAAGGGUCGCGAACCCGCGAGGGGGAGCCAAUCCCAAAAAGCCGCUCUCAGUUCGGAUUGCAGGCUGCAACUCGCCUGCAUGAAGCCGGAAUCGCUAGUAAUCGCGGAUCAGCAUGCCGCGGUGAAUACGUUCCCGGGCCUU
rnacentral:rRNA from 1 species